rnacentral:rRNA from 1 species
CAUGCCGUAAACGAUGAGUGCUAGGUGUUGGAGGGUUUCCGCCCUUCAGUGCCGCAGCUAACGCAUUAAGCACUCCGCCUGGGGAGUACGACCGCAAGGUUGAAACUCAAAGGAAUUGACGGGGGCCCGCACAAGCGGUGGAGCAUGUGGUUUAAUUCGAAGCUACGCGAAGAACCUUACCAGGUCUUGACAUCUUGCGCUAACCUCAGAGAUGAGGUGUUCCCUUCGGGGACGCAAUGACAGGUGG